rnacentral:rRNA from 1 species
UGGACGACGGCUGGCGGCGUGCCUAACACAUGCAAGUCGAGCGGAGAUACAUUGAAGAGCAAUCAGAUAUGUAUCUUAGCGGCGGACGGGUGAGUAACGCGUGGGCAACCUGCCUCAUACUGGGGGAUAACACAGGGAAACUUGUGCUAAUACCGCAUAAUAUCAUUAUAGGGCAUCCUGUGAUGAUCAAAGGAGCAAUCCGGUGUGAGAUGGGCCCGCGUCCAAUUAGCUAGUUGGUGGGGUAACGGCCCACCAAGGCGACGAUUGGUAGCCGAACUGAGAGGUUGAUCGGCCACAUUGGGACUGAGACACGGCCCAGACUCCUACGGGAGGCAGCAGUGGGGAAUAUUGCGCAAUGGGGGAAACCCUGACGCAGCAACGCCGCGUGAAGGAUGAAGGUCUUCGGAUUGUAAACUUCUUUGAUGAGGGACGAACACAAUGACGGUACCUCAAAAACAAGCCACGGCUAACUACGUG